UUAAAAGCUGUGAAGGAGAAAAGUAAGUUAAGCCCAGCUUUUCAGGGAGAAGGUGUCAUUGACUGCAAGCACCUUUAAAGUAUGGUUAACCGAAGUUCUCUCCGGAGUUGCCGGCUGAAACCCGUCAGGGUAAGUAGGUUGGGCCGUUUGCUUCCAACGUUAGAGGGAAGGGGAUAUCGGAAUAUUUUCCCGUAUCUUGUAUGAGUGGAACUGUAUUGAUACAGUUCAAGCAGGGUGGUAACGCGGCGAGCGAAGGCUCUUCGUCCCUUUG
rnacentral:ncRNA from 1 species